CUUCAGAUGGCUGUAAAGAGCGCCAACAGCUAAAAGGAAAGGCCCUCAGUACAGACUUGUGAAUCUUUAUUCUGUCUGGCUGGAACAAAAGGCCAUGAUCGGAAUAAAACUUUUUUUGUGUGUGCGUGUGAUCACGUCGGCUGGUUGAGGAUUGUAAAAUGAAAGUGGAAAGACGAACAAAACACGAAUAAAAGGAUUCUGCGUGAUUUCUGAAAGGUUUAUAUGGAUAUGACUUUACCGAAUAAAGUGACCAAAAUAUUCCCCCGCUGGAUUGGCCACACCCUCUGCCAUUCAACCCCCUGCUCAGACACCAAAACAGGUCAACGAGUCAGUCACGUCAGGAUACUUAAACCAUAUCAAUGUUAAUCCUUAAAAUGUACCAUAUUUUUCACACUUGAACCACAACAGAAUAAUGCAUCUACAAGCACUUGAACAGAAACUGUUAAAAUUAUUUUUUAUCAGAGAUUAUUUAAAAAGGUAAAAUAAUAUUUUCACUGUUUCACUCUAGCAAGCAGGGCCAGACUGCACACCAACCCCCACCCAUGUGCUUUUGUGAGAAACGACAAAAUAUUUUAUGAGCUACAAGAAACACGUGGACGAGAUGACACACACGACGUGAAAUGGUUCCAGCUGAAAGCGGCACUCAAAUAAUAGCUAGCUGCAUCACUUGACACCUGCAGCCGUUUAGCAUCACAGACAAACACUGUGGCUGUCAUAGCAACUGAGGGAGUAGAGAGUCUGAACACACAGCUACCCAUCAGCUCACCCUUUGAUUGGUCGCCAUAACAACAUCACCAUGGUAAUCAGCGUGCAUUGACUUUGAUCCUAUUUAUGUGUUGAUGUCAGCUGACGUGGAAACCUUAAAAUGUGUGCUCUCUGCUGACAUGCACUGACAGAUGCAGGAUGGACGGAGGAAUGUCAGCUGUCACACACUCCUGUGUUUUGGACUUUGGUUUUGUUUUUGUGUUUGCAUGCACAGAUGCUGGGAUGAGCGUGCACCCACACACGGCACCUCACCCACUUUGGGACAAUAGCAACAAAUCACAAAUCUGGCUGUCAGUGACAGGGGUACGUUCAAGACCUUUGUAUUUUAACAUAAUCUUAUAAAAUACCUCACAUAUCAUUGCUGUCCAAUGAAUACCCUGUACGUCCAAAUUUGGUUGGGAUUAUAGGUUGAGAAAAUUUUAAACUCUAAUCUUAAACUAAAUAGACCACUUAAAAACCAUUGGAUUAGCUGCAAAAAUGCUUUUUCUUAUCUCUUACCAUUUUGAAGAUACAUGUUUUUCACAGGACAGCAAUGAUAUGCAAAAAUACCACAAAAUAGCCCUUUGUGUGUGUGUGACAGGAAUAUUUUGGGUCUGAGAGACUUUGAGUUAAAAUCACACAGAGAGAAACAGAUAAAUAAAAGACGAGAGUACAGAUGUUUUUUGAGAUCUUGUGUGUAUUUGAAUGAAAGUUUGUAGGGUCUUGUGUCAGUCACUGGCAAUCACACAUAUAAACAAGAAAACAAACACAGGAAGUGGAAAUAAACAGCAGAAAAACAGCUCUGUAAAGCCUGGCAGCAAGUCGGAAAAAAUCAGGAAUCUGUGAAGUCAGGAAUCGGAGAGGGGAGGAGAAACACCAAGACUACAGAGAUUAUGGAUUCCAUAAGUAUGAGUUUUAUAAAAGAUCCAUGCUCCAUGGGGUCAAAGGUCACAAUUAUACCCAUACAGAUGUGAUGCUGCAACUGUGAAUUCUUGGCGGACAAGAUUCCCCCACAAAGUGCUGGAGGAAGAGGUCUCGUAAAUGAAGAUAAACAGCUCCAUGUUGGGGUCAACGGAGCCAUGCCGCUCAUCACUUUAGCAUAUAUGAGUCCUGCUUUCAGACACACUUUUUACAGGCUACACAUGUCAAGUAGCAUGUGGGUAAUAGCCACCACAUGUAUGUGCUAAAUCCAAGUCUUUCCAACCACUGUGAGAGCUUUACCUUUAAGGCGAGGUCAGAAAGGCGUCCACACACGCAGAUCCAGGAGGAAUUUGCGAGAAUCUGUAAAGUGGUAGAAGAAAAUCUAACUGUCCUCAUCCUAACAAAGAACAGAGAGCUUGUAAUUUUUUGUCAUCAUUUUUGCAAACAUAAGACUUACCUCUAGGCUCAGGACAGUGGGAGAUUUACAGAUGUCAUGACCAGGCUUUCAACCUGUGCAGCCUGUUCAGCCUGCAUGGAUUAUUACACCAGAUGUUUUUACUCAGCCCAUAAAAUAUCUUCAUUCACAGGAAAUAAUUAAACAUUUACUGGUGCAGAGCCUUCCCUAUCAUAUUUUCAUAAGAGAAACUUAAUAAAAGCAUUUGUGGUCAUUUCACUGUAGCAAAAUGAUCUCUGGCAGAAAAAUCUUGCUUGGGGACACCACACACACGCACACGCACACGCACACACACACGCACACACACACACACACACACACACACACACACACACACACACACACACACACACCACAGUAAAGGCUCCUUAUGCACAUCUGUGAGCCAGAGAUAGAGCACUAUCUGUCCAGAAUGUCAUUAACUACCACUGCUGUAGAUUUAUAUUCUCUCAGUCAUGCCAUAUGAGCCUGUCCAAUUACAUCCAUAGUCUGGAGAUCAUCUGCAUAGACACACACACAAAACCACAAGGUAUGUGAAUUAAUUUAAUAUUUGCGAGAAAAGUGUAAAUUAAUUCCCUACUUCAUGGACAGGCUGAUUAGCUUGUCAAGAGGUCAUCACAGGUUGCUACCAUGGCGACAACACUGCAGCGCCACAUGGGCUUAAUAUCAUGAUCAUUAAUGGAAUGAACAGUGGGACUAGAUGGCAGUAUGAGUUGUACUGGAGUUAAUAAGGAAAUGAGAGAGGGAACAAAUGCAUUGCACUAAGCAGUACUGAUGCCUGAAAGUCAAUUUACAGCAUCAGCACUGCCAUCUACAGGCCGAGAAGAGACAGAACACCUUCAACUGAUAGUAAAGCAUUUCCCAGCUAAAAUGUGCCUCAUCUUGACCAGCUCCAACAAUAAAUGCUGCUUACAUGUUAAUGCAUCAGUAAAAAAAUCCCAGUAAAAUAGUGUAAUAUAUACAAUAGUAUUAUACUCUGAAAGGGGACAUUCUACAUAAUGAGUACUGAUACUUUGAUAAUUUAACUAUAUUUUGCCAAUAAAACUGCACUUUUACUUAAGCGAGAUUUCGCAGGACUUUUUACUGGUAACAGAGUAGUUUUACAUUGGGAUAUCACCACUUUUACUUAAGAAAAGGUUUUGAGUUCUUCCACCACCCUCUUCAUUUCCCAUCAGCCCUCUCUCCUGUUCCCUCAUCUAGUUUAGAUAAUGUGUCCAAUGCAGAUAAUAAAUUCACGUCUUUGUGAGGUAAUUACAUGCAGAGAGAAUAACAUAAAUAAUUUAUUCCAAAUGAAUCAUCAUGCGUUCCUUUAUAAAAUCAGUCAAAUUUUACAAAACCUCUUUAAAAACAUGAAAAUAAAUGCACAGCUAUCUAUAGUAAAAAGCUCCAAUUAGACACCACAAAAAUAUACUGU